rnacentral:rRNA from 1 species
UGCGCGAAAGCGUGACGGGGGAACCCCAAGUGCCGUUGAUCUUUGAUCGACGGCUUUUCGGAAGUUUAGGGAGCUUCCGGAAUAAGGGCUGGGUAAGACGGGUGCCAGCCGCCGCGGUAAUACCCGCAGCCCAAGUAGAAAGGUCGCGAUUAUUGGGCCUAAAGCGCUCGUAGCCGGGCGAGCAAGUCCCUUGUGAAAUCGGGCCGCUUUAACGGUUCGGCUUGCAAGGGUAUACUGCUUGUCUUGAGGCCGGGAGAGGUCGGAGGUACUCCGGGGGUAGCGGUGAAAUGCUGUAAUCCUCGGGGGACCACCAGUGGCGAAGGCGUCCGACCAGAACGGGCCUGACGGUGAGGGGCGAAGGCUAGGGGAGCGAACGGGAUUAGAUACCCCGGUAGUCCUAGCCGUAAAGCAUGCGGGCCAGAUGUCUGGCGCUCCUUGAGGGCGCCAUGUGCCGGAGGGAAGCCGUUAAGCCCGCCGCCUGGGAAGUACGGUCGCAAGGCUGAAACUUACAGAUAUUGGCGGGGGAGCACCACAAGGGGUGGGACCUGCGGUUCAAUUGGAUUCAACGCCGGAAAACUCACCAGGGGCGACAGUUGGUUGAAGGCCAGGUUGACGACCUUGCCGGACUAGCUGAGAGGUGGUGCAUGGCCGUCGUCAGCUCGUACCGUGAGGCGUCCUGUCAAGUCAGGCAACGAGCGAGAUCCUCGCCCUUAGUUGCCAUCAGUGGGAAGCUGGGCACUCUAGGGGGACCGCUGGCGCUAAGCCAGAGGAAGGUGAGGGCGACGGUAGGUCAGUAUGCCCCGAAACCCCUGGGCCACACGCGGGUCACAAUGCGCAGGACAAUGGGAUGCAACCCCGUAAGGGGAAGCCAAGCCCCUAAACCUGCGCUCGGUUCGGAUCGAGGGCUGUAACUCGCCCUCGUGAAGCUGGAAUCCCUAGUAAUCGCGUGCCAACACCGCGCGGUGAAUACGUCCCUGCUUCUUGCACACACCGCCCGUCAAGCCACUCGAGUAGGGCCUGGAUGAGAUCCGAUCCAUGUUGGGCUGAUUGAAUCC